rnacentral:rRNA from 1 species
UACGUAGGGUGCGAGCGUUGUCCGGAAUUAUUGGGCGUAAAGGGCUCGUAGGCGGUCUGUCGCGUCGGGAGUGAAAACUCAGGGCUUAACCCUGAGCCUGCUUCCGAUACGGGCAGACUAGAGGUAUGCAGGGGAGAACGGAAUUCCUGGUGUAGCGGUGGAAUGCGCAGAUACCAGGAGGAACACCAAUGGCGAAGGCAGAUCUCUGGGCCGUAACUGACGCUGAGGAGCGAAAGCAUGGGGAGCGAACAGG